CAGGGGCCCCCAACGGCUGCUCUGUCGGGCUGCGCAGGCCGCACCGCCCCUCUCCGCCCUGUCCUCGCCUCUGGCGUGGGUUCUGGCCGUGGCGCGUCACCCCCGCGGGUCGUCCUUGCUCAGCCCGGCUUGCCUGGCCGGCCUCGGCAACCGCGGCGGUGGCAGCAGCGCAAGGGAAAGCCUCAGCAGGGUGUGGGCAUUGCAGAAGGUCUUCCGCUGGGCCCGUGCCGGCGUGCGCCGCGUCUGCGGACACAGCCGCUCUGCUGGCUGCGGUGCGGCCUGCGCGCCCAUUCCUUUGGUGUCCUUGACUCCUUUGAUGGAUAUGGUUGCCCUAGUAGCUUAACUUUAGAAGUGAAGCUAAACGGCGGUUCAGCUUGGACAUCAGAGGAAUUUAUUCACAGAAAGCGCGACUAGACAUUGGAAUGAGCUGCCCGGGGAGGUGGUUAAGUCACCAUCCUGGAGGUGUUCAAGGAAAGACUGGAUGUGGCGCUCAGUGCCACGGUCUAGUUGUCAAGCUCAUCCUGCAUUUUUCAUCACCACCAUCCUCCAUCUGUGUAUUACUUGUGUUGUUAUAAAUUUGGCAACACUUCAGCAGCGAGCUACUGUUUAUAACAAGAGAUCCCAGCAGCUAAAAGAAGCCAGUCAUUGGGAUUACUCAUAACUUGCCUUGUGAACUGCUCAAGGGAAUUUCUUGAAGAACUGUGUCAAAAUCAGCUUUAGAAACGAUUAAUUUGAGAGCUUUUAUUGACACAUAAGAAGUGUUCCGAGAUUAUUGCUGGCCGAGUUGGUGGGCUUGGAAGGAAGAUUCUUUUUGCUGGCACUGAGAGAAAAUUUUCUCAUUUUGUGCACGGAAACAAGGAUAAAAUAAGCUUUUUUCCUCUCUGCAAGAAGAAAUCUGACGCAGUGGGAACUCAAUCACCCGGAUACCAUGAAUGCUUGCAGAAGGAUACAUUCUCUCCGUGCUCACAGACAGAAAACUAAUGGAAACAGAAGUGAGAACUGGCCCAGCACCUCUGGGUUCAAGCACCAGCAUGGAGAUGAUCUUGUUACAGUCCACACCCUUUACACAGUGAUCAUCAUGAUCCUUCUAGGGGCACUCUGGGGAGCCUGGUCAAGAAAGGAUUCAUCCUUAUAACAGCAAUAUAGCAACUUUCUUUGUCAAAUAUUUAAAGAGAUAUUUGUGUCAAUUAUCCAUACUCAAGAGGUAUAAAAAAUGGUCUCAGCGUAUUUCAGUUUACUUGAAACUGCUUAAAUGGUUGCUACUUGUGGAAGUGAAUCUAUGAAGCAUUUAACAAGCCAUGUACGGAACCUAAUUUUGUGAAUAACGGAGACCUGUUUGACCUGUACACAUUUAUGUUACCCUCAGCAUGUAUAUGAAACUUUAAGCAUGAUAUUCUAGAAAGAAGAGUUCAACUUCUGUUUUAUUGG